UACGGAGGGGGCUAGCGUUGUUCGGAAUUACUGGGCGUAAAGCGCGCGUAGGCGGACCUGCAAGUCGGGGGUGAAAGCCCGAGGCUCAACCUCGGAACUGCCUUCGAUACUGCGGGUCUCGAGUCCGGGAGAGGUGAGUGGAAUUCCUAGUGUAGAGGUGAAAUUCGUAGAUAUUAGGAAGACACCAGUGGCGAAGCGGCUAGCAC
rnacentral:rRNA from 1 species